rnacentral:rRNA from 1 species
AGUUUGAUCCUGGCUCAGGAUGAACGCUAGCUACAGGCUUAACACAUGCAAGUCGAGGGGCAGCAUUGGAGUAGCAAUACUUCAGAUGGCGACCGGCGCACGGGUGAGUAACACGUAUCCAACCUGCCGCUUACUCGGGGAUAGCCUUUCGAAAGAAAGAUUAAUACCCGAUGGUAUAAAGAGUUCGCAUGUUCUCUUUAUUAAAGAAUUUCGGUAAGCGAUGGGGAUGCGUUCCAUUAGAUUGUUGGCGGGGUAACGGCCCACCAAGUCUACGAUGGAUAGGGGUUCUGAGAGGAAGGUCCCCCACAUUGGAACUGAGACACGGUCCAAAUCCUACGGGAGGCAGCAGUGGGGAAUAUUGGUCAAUGGACGAGAGACUGAACCAGCCAAGUAGCGUGAAGGAUGACUGCCCUAUGGGUUGUAAACUUCUUUUAUAAGGGAAUAAAGUGAGGGACGUGUCCCUUUUUGUAUGUACCUUAUGAAUAAGGAUCGGCUAACUCCGUGCCAGCAGCCGCGGUAAUACGGAGGAUCCAAGCGUUAUCCGGAUUUAUUGGGUUUAAAGGGAGCGUAGGUUGACAUAUAAGUCAGCUGUGAAAGUUUACGGCUCAACCGUGAAAUUGCAGUUGAUACUGUAUGUCUUGAGUGUACAAGAGGUGGGCGGAAUUCGUGGUGUAGCGGUGAAAUGCUUAGAUAUCACGAAGAACUCCAAUUGCGAAGGCAGCUCACUGGGGUACAACUGACACUGAGGCUCGAAAGUGUGGGUAUCAAACAGGAUUAGAUACCCUGGUAGUCCACACAGUAAACGAUGAAUACUCGCUGUUUGCGAUAUACAGUAAGCGGCCAAGCGAAAGCAUUAAGUAUUCCACCUGGGGAGUACGCCGGCAACGGUGAAACUCAAAGGAAUUGACGGGGGCCCGCACAAGCGGAGGAACAUGUGGUUUAAUUCGAUGAUACGCGAGGAACCUUACCCGGGCUUGAAUUGCAGAGGAACAUAGUUGAAAGAUUAUGGCCGCAAGGUCUCUGUGAAGGUGCUGCAUGGUUGUCGUCAGCUCGUGCCGUGAGGUGUCGGCUUAAGUGCCAUAACGAGCGCAACCCUUAUCAUUAGUUACUAACAGGUGAUGCUGAGGACUCUAGUGAGACUGCCGUCGUAAGAUGUGAGGAAGG